rnacentral:rRNA from 1 species
GACGUAGGGCGCAAGCGUUGUCCGGAUUUAUUGGGCGUAAAGAGCUCGUAGGCGGCUUGUCGCGUCGACUGUGAAAACCCGCAGCUUAACUGCGGGACUGCAGUCGAUACGGGCAGGCUAGAGUUCGGUAGGGGAGACUGGAAUUCCUGGUGUAGCGGUGAAAUGCGCAGAUAUCAGGAGGAACACCGGUGGCGAAGGCGGGUCUCUGGGCCGACACUGACGCUGAGGAGCGAAAGCGUGGGGAGCGAACAGG